GAGAACGGUAGAAGGUGGAGAGGGAGCGAGAGGCCGCCGAAAGCGCAUAGCGGCCCAUAAUUCGGUGCGCCGCCCCGCAAUCAGGUUCGUGCCUCGAUGUUUCUAACCGCCUUGCUCGUCGUCGUCGUCGUCGUCGUCGUCGUCGCAGCCGGGAGAGAGAAACGGUAGUGCACACGUUUUUACGUUUGCUCGGCCAACAGGAGCACUCUCUUGACAGACGAGUGUGUUGUAUACGGGUCGGUCCUACGGGUCAUAUCGAAGCGCGUACCGCGUGGUUUUCGCUUCUCGGGUAUAUACGCGACUCUUCUCUUUUAUUCCGUGUGUACAUCUCGAUCUCCUCGCUGCCUCGUCGCACGCGCGCGUCUGGUGUCUCGUUUGUUGUUUAUAUCGUCGGGGGCAGCUGGGCUGACAGGCCAAAAACCCUCCACCACUUACCGGAAGGACAGUGGCAUUUGUGUGCCCGACACGACGAACCUGGACUCGAGUGUGAGGAAUAAUCCUGCGAAAAAAAAAAAAAAAAAAAUCAAGAAACGGAAAUUACAUACGGAACGAGCAAGAAGAAGGGAAAACGCGGUGCCUACUCGUUUCAGAGACCAAGAGAGAGACCGCGCGGCCGCGUCUCCUCUUGCCAACCACCAUUCAGUCAAGCCGAUCAUUCAGUCAGUGCCGGUUCGCUACGCAACUACGGACGUUCUCUUUGUUUACUGCUAGUAUACACACGUCUGCACACCGGUUUUUCUUCAACGAGUAGAGAUUCGUCAUUUCAACGGAUAUACCAAUGAUACCUGGCUGGACAGAGACUGAGGCGGCUGAAUAAAAGGAAGGAGAUUGAGAGUGGUCCAGAGAACAAGGAGCGAACAGGAGGAGGCGAGAUCGACAGUGGAAACAGGUAGAGGAGGGGCAUGAUAAGCACGGACACACGUGUACCACGAAAAUCAGUUGACCUGGUGGACAGUUGUCUGACGUCGGGCGUCCAGGGACAACGUAUGUCGGAAUGACGCGUCUAUCAGGCAAUGGCAGGGCAGAGGGUGCAAGGACUUCGUUAAACGGGCGAAAGUGAUACACGGUCGUGGUUUGUGUUGGUGGAGUGGUGGAAGAAGGUGACGGGGAGAAACGGAAGAAAGAAGCGUUUCGGGAUCGUGGAAUUUUCAUUGGAACCGAUCACGGUCUCAUUGUCUCACCAUACUCCGUAAACGGCGGAUAACGUCCUCUCGUCGCUAUCACGAUGUCGUUAUUAUGAGAUCCACGCUAGGCACAAAGUUUCCUUACACUUGACAUCGAUCGAAAUCGUUCGACAUCAUCGUCAUCGCAACAGACACGAACGAAACAUUCGAGAUCGACAUUCUAGAGGACCAAAAAGACGAAAGAUCGAAGAACCAGCAGGGCAUAAUCAGAUUCUUAGACAACCGAGCAACAAAUUGACUACCAAAGAAUUUUAUUGGCAGAUAAUCACAGGAGAUCACAAGGUCUGUUUAACAAAGCCACAACGAUCGAAGGAAAACCAUCUAGUGACAGAAAAGCGACCUCGUUCAGGAAGACAUCAUUCAAUCCAGGCAAUUGUGGUCGUUUCAGCGAGAAGUAAAUUGCCCGUGGACGUGGUCCAGGCCAAGUGGACGGGGGUAGCGCACCGUGGGUCGAUAAAAAGGAUAGAGGGGUGCGUGGUGGAACGCGACGAAAGGUGAAGUGAA